GCAUUGGUGGUUUAGUGGUAGAAUUCUCGCCUCCCAUGCGGGAGACCCAAGUUCAAUUCCCGGCCACUGCA